UACGUAGGCGGAAAAUUAAGUCAGUAGUGAAAUCCUGCAGCUUAACUGUAGAACUGUUAUUGAUACUGGUUUUCUUGAAUAUAGUUGAGGUAGGCGGAAUGUGUAAUGUAGCGGUGAAAUGCUUAGAUAUUACACAGAACACCGAUUGCGAAGGCAGCUUACUAAGCUAUGAUUGACGCUGAGGAACGAAAGCGUGGGGAGCGAACAGGAUUAGAUACCCUGGUAGUCC
rnacentral:rRNA from 1 species